GACGAACGCUGGCGGCGUGCUUAACACAUGCAAGUUGAACGGAAAGGCCCUGCUUUUGUGGGGUGCUCGAGUGGCGAACGGGUGAGUAACACGUGAGUAACCUGCCCUUGACUUUGGGAUAACUUCAGGAAACUGGGGCUAAUACCGGAUAGGAGCUCCUGCUGCAUGGUGGGGGUUGGAAAGUUUCGGCGGUUGGGGAUGGACUCGCGGCUUAUCAGCUUGUUGGUGGGGUAGUGGCUUACCAAGGCUUUGACGGGUAGCCGGCCUGAGAGGGUGACCGGCCACAUUGGGACUGAGAUACGGCCCAGACUCCUACGGGAGGCAGCAGUGGGGAAUAUUGCACAAUGGGCGGAAGCCUGAUGCAGCAACGCCGCGUGCGGGAUGACGGCCUUCGGGUUGUAAACCGCUUUCGCCUGUGACGAAGCGUGAGUGACGGUAAUGGGUAAAGAAGCGCCGGCUAACUACGUG
rnacentral:rRNA from 1 species